CGCGUAGGAAUCUGCCUUAUGGUGGGGGACAACAGUUGGAAACGGCUGCUAAUACCGCAUAUUAUUUUCGAAUAAAAGGUGGCACUUAGGUGCUGUCGCCAUGAGAUGAGCCUGCGUUGGAUUAGCUAGUUGGUGGGGUAAUUGCUUACCAAGGCUGUGAUCCAUAGCUGUUCUGAGAGGAAGAUCAGCCACACUGGGACUGAAACACGGCCCAGACUCCUACGGGAGGCAGCAGUGGGGAAUAUUGGACAAUGGGGGCAACCCUGAUCCAGCAAUACCAUGUGUGUGAAGAAGGCCUUA
rnacentral:rRNA from 1 species